AGCCCAGUGGAUUGGUGUGCAGAAAUGCUGAGCUCCCAGCCUCAGCUGAGACAGGCAGAGAGAUGCUUCAGUGAUUCACACCCUCGUGUCAUGCAAGCACUGGAGAGUUUCAAAGGCUCAGAGAACGUGGUGGUGACCAACAUGCUCAGCAGGCUCCUGCUGUAGGGUGUGAAACCAGUGCUCAUCCAUUUCUGACACCAUGAACACCCAGCAGCA